AGCUCCAAUAGCGUAUAUUAAAGUUGUUGCAGUUAAAAAGCUCGUAGUUGGAUUUCUGGUUUGAUGCCCUGGCCCGCUGCUAUUUUGGUAGUGUGUGCCGGUUGUGCGUCUGCCAUCCUUCUAGGGAACGUUCCUUCUCUUCACUGAGCCGGGUUCGUGAUCUAGAUCGUUUACUUUGAAAAAAUUAGAGUGUUUAAAGCAGGCUUUGGCUAUGAAUACAUUAGCAUGGAAUAAUAAUCUAGGACUUCGGUCAUAUUUUGUUGGUUUCUGUAACUGAAGUAAUGAUUGAUAGGGAUAGUUGGGGGUGCUAGUAUUGAGCGGCCAGAGGUGAAAUUCUUGGAUUCGCUCAAGACUAACUUAUGCGAAAGCAUUCACCAAGGAUGUCUUCUUUA
rnacentral:rRNA from 1 species